rnacentral:lncRNA from 1 species
GGCGAAGACCGCGGCCCCGUCCCCGCGCCUCCACCGCCUUCUUCCAGGAGGAGGGGCCGUGCGGCGCCUGCCCGGGGGCCCUCAGGCCGCAGGCGGGCGCGAGCUUCAGGGAACUUAGGGGGCUCCCGCCUCCCCGGCCACGCGAGCGGGAACAGUCUCCUCCACUCGGAGCGAUUAUAGAUCCAGACUCCUGUGCCUGACCACUGCCCAUGGCCAACUCUCUGCUGAUGACUGGACUUGACUACACAAGUUGUUGGCCAUCUUAAAACCACUCAAAGUUGACGGUCUCCUCUCCUGCCUCCUGCGGCUUCCAUUACCAUGGCAGAGACUGUGGUGUCUGAGGUGGUGUAGCGUACUGAAGCAAGGCUGUCUUGAAGAAGAGGAGACAACUCACAAUUCUACCACCUUUGUUGACCUCUUCUUCCCCCCAACUUAUUGCUGUAGAGGCUACCUGAGCUCAUUGUCCCUGGAGAUGGACCAAAUAGAAGAAUAAGCAGUGCCUGUGUGGCCCCAACUACAGAAGAUAAGAGGGCAUAGGAAAAGUUUUUCCUCUCUACAAGCCAAAAGUCGCAAGGCUAAUAUUUACUCCCCUGAUUCUCUCCUCCAGAGCCCACACCCUUCAUCACUACUGAUAAAGUUUCAAAUAUGUUUUUCAAAUCUGGCAUUCAUGGUUGCUACUGCACUGGAAUAAUGGUAACAACAGGCUGAUGAGAAUCUUAAGUGGCACUUACUCAGUGGAGUAAUUGGAAGCGGCAAUGGUUAUACAAAUGAAUGCCCCUCAGAGGGAAGAAGGAGAGAUUUGCCUUGAAACUGCGGCUGUAAAAAGUUAGUGCUGGUAAGUGAAGAAACAGAAACUAAGUGAUAGAGAAUGGGAACUAAGGUAGAAAUAACUAACAAAGAUCACUGUGCAGAACCGUAGUGGUGUUCAGAGUAGAUGCGCAAGUCCAUAUGCAUGUAGCAAAUACAAGUCUCAACCCACAAAAUAAAGUGAAGAUGAAUAUAUU